AUUGAGAACAACGUACAAACCUUAUCGAUAAACAAUUGGAGGGCAAGUCUGGUGCCAGCAGCCGCGGUAAUUCCAGCUCCAAUAGCGUAUAUUAACGUUGUUGCAGUUAAAAAGCUCGUAGUUGAAAUGAAGGGUGGUUGUGUAAUGAAUACAUUCGUGUAUUUUGUUAUUCUACUACCCUCCUUCUAAAUUCGAUAUAUGAGUAUUAAUUUACUUGUAUAUGGUUUUAGACCUUUACUGUGAGAAAAUUAGAGUGUUCAAAGCAGGCAUUUGCUUGAAUAUAUUAGCAUGGAAUAAUCAUGUAUGAUUUUCAUGAUGUAUUUGAUUGGUUUGGUUCAUGAGAAUAAGAUUAAAAGGGACAGUUGGGGGUAUUCAUAUUCAAUAGUCAGAGGUGAAAUUCUCGGAUUUAUGGAAGAUGAACAAGUGCGAAAGCAUUUACCAAGGAUGUUUUCAUUAAUCAAGAACGAAAGUUAGGGGAUCGAAGAGGAUUAGAUACCCUCGUAGUCUUAAA
rnacentral:rRNA from 1 species